UCACUGUUUUGGGUCCCAAGUAUACAUC
rnacentral:piRNA from 1 species